GUGUCUGCCAUGUCAUCAUGGAACCCUGGUGUCUGCCAUGUCAUCAUGGAACCCCGGUGUCUGCCAUGUCAUCAUGGAACCCUGGUGUCUGUCAUGUCAUCAUGGAACCCCGGUGUCUGUCAUGUCAUCAUGGAACCCCGGUGUCUGUCAUGUCAUCAUGGAACCCCGGUGUCUGCCAUGUCAUCAUGGAACCCUGGUGUCUGUCAUGUCAUCAUGGAACCCUGGUGGAACCCUGGUCACUACUGAUCAUCCUAUGAGGAGUUGGACUGUUUGGGAAUUCGUUGUUUUCUAAUUGUUUUUAAUGUUCACUUAUUUUCCAGCGUUAAAGUUAAGCAUGAAAGGGAUUUUUUUGUGAUUUAUGUUUUAAUGUGGAAAGGAAAUGCCUUGUUUCACAGUGACCGAUGCCAACAUUAUCACCCUUCUGUAAGGAAGCCAUCAGGACCUGAGGAGUUGUAGGGUUAUGUUGAAGGGAAUGAUUUUCUGAAACAAACCCAAUGGGUGUGCUACUACUGGAAGCAUGGGGAAACAUGUUACAACAUGUUACCGGAUAAAAAGAGGAAGACAGGAGGGUUAGACAGGAGGUUGGGGUUAGACAGGAGGUUGGGGUUAGACGGGAGGUUGGGGUUAGACGGGAGGUUGGGGUUAGACGGGAGGUUGGGGUUAGACGGGAGGUUGGGGUUAGACGGGAGGUUGGGGUUAGACGGGAGGUUGGGGUUAGACGGGAGGUUGGGGUUAGACGGGAGGUUGGGGUUAGACGGGAGGAGGUUGGGGUUAGACGGGAGGAGGUUGGGGCCUUUGGUUGGAAUGAAAAUGAAAAGUUUACACAGCAAAGUAUUUUUGUAAAUAAUACUUUUUUUAAACUCAUUUUUCAAAUAUACAGAACAUCUGUAUAUUUGAGGUCUUAAAGGGAUGACCUAUCUAUUGGGCUUAAAGGGAUGGUGUCAGUGUUUUAUGUACCUUGCUGAUGCUAUGUAAUAGGGUUGUGCACAAUGAUAGGCUGUGUUUACUGUGAACUGUUGUCUGUUAUUUCAUGAUAAUGAUCUGUGCCACAAACCUCGUCAUUCACAGAGUAGAAUCUACAUGUUGAGUUAGAGUUUCCAUCUGACAGUACAUCAACAGGAUUGUUCUAGAAUCCCUUAGAGCAGAAUAAUCAUGUUGUUCUAGAAUCCCUCAGAGCAGAAUCAUCAUGUUGUUUGUUCUAGAAUCCCUCAGAGCAGAAUCAUCAUGCUGUUCUAGAAUCCCUCAGAGCAGAAUCAUGUUGUUCUAGAAUCCCUCAGAGCAGAAUCAGCAUGUUGUUCUAGAAUCCCUCAGAGCAAAAUCAUCAUGUUGUUCUAGAAUCCCUCAGAGCAAAAUCAUCAUGUUGUUCCAGAAUCCCUCAGAGCAAAAUCUUCAUGUUUCUCUUCUAUACAGAAUGACUAACAUUAUUCUGAUGUGGGUCCAUGUCUUGAUUUCAGUAUUCUAGUUUUAUUGGAUUUCAGAAUGAUGUAUAUUUCAUCAGGAUAUCAUGUGAGAAAUAUAAACUAAGGCAUGAACCAA